rnacentral:rRNA from 1 species
ACUCAAAUGAAUAGACGGGGGCCCGCACAAGCAGUGGAUUAUGUGGUUUAAUUCGAAGCAACGCGAAGAACCUUACCAGGUCUUGACAUCCCGCGAGUACCCUAGAGAUAGGGGAUGCCCUUCGGGGCGCGGAGACAGGUGGUGCAUGGUUGUCGUCAGCUCGUGUCGUGAGAUGUUGGGUUAAGUCCCGCAACGAGCGCAACCCUUACGAUUAGUUGCUACGCAAGAGCACUCUAAUGGGACUGCCGUUGACAAAACGGAGGAAGGUGGGGACGACGUCAAAUCAUCAUGCCCUUUAUGACCUGGGCUACACACGUAAUACAAUGGCGCCGAACAACGGGCAGCGAAGCCGCGAGGCGGAGCGAACCCCCAAAAGGCGUCUCAGUUCGGAUUGCAGGCUGCAACUCGCCUGUAUGAAGUCGGAAUUGCUAGUAAUCGCGGAUCAGCAUGCCGCGGUGAAUACGUUCCCGGGCCUUGUACACACCGCCCGU